GAUGAACGCUGGCGGCGUGCCUAAUACAUGCAAGUCGAGCGAACGGACGAGAAGCUUGCUUCUCUGAUGUUAGCGGCGGACGGGUGAGUAACACGUGGAUAACCUACCUAUAAGACUGGGAUAACUUCGGGAAACCGGAGCUAAUACCGGAUAAUAUUUUGAACCGCAUGGUUCAAAAGUGAAAGACGGUCUUGCUGUCACUUAUAGAUGGAUCCGCGCUGCAUUAGCUAGUUGGUAAGGUAACGGCUUACCAAGGCAACGAUGCAUAGCCGACCUGAGAGGGUGAUCGGCCACACUGGAACUGAGACACGGUCCAGACUCCUACGGGAGGCAGCAGUAGGGAAUAUUCCGCAAUGGGCGAAAGCCUGACGGAGCAACGCCGCGUGAGUGAUGAAGGUCUUCGGAUCGUAAAACUCUGUUAUUAGGGAAGAACAUAUGUGUAAGUAACUGUGCACAUCUUGACGGUACCUAAUCAUAAAGCCACGGCUAACUACGUG
rnacentral:rRNA from 1 species